GCACCCGCACAGACCCCCCGUUUCUGGGGCCUCCAAAUCUACUUCUCAUCUAAUCUUUUGGGCCUCUGGAAAAAUAUCUAACCUAUUGGGCUUGUGAGACGCUCGGCCUGGCAACUGGCGGCCUGGCAACUGGCAACCUGGAGCAGCCCCCCGAUCUGGAACUGCCUCGUCCAGCGAUUGUGGCAAUCUUUCCCUCAAAAUCAAAAAGAAAAACAAAACAACGAUUGAUCUAUUCGAUUCACGGAGAGGAGCGAAGCGACGAGGCGUCUCUUCGUCUGUUCCUGUGUGGCACUGGUGGCCCUCGCCACGGCAGAUCCUUUUCAAGAUUCAGGAGGGUAGGAGCAGGCGAGCAGCCGAGCACGAAGGCAUACGGCAGGAACGACCGAACAACAGCCGGCAGGGAGGAAAGUCCUGGCCAAUCUCCCGAUCUCCGAGUUUUUAAGCGUCGUCUCGUCAAUAACUAGUGAUCUUGGUUUUUUGUUUUCAGUUGCUGUUCUUUGGGAGUCAUGAGGAUCUUCCUAUAUUCAAGUUUGAGAACCUGACAAGCUUUUCUCUGGAUGGGUGCCGUAUCAACGACGACUUCCUCGGGCUGCGCAAAUACCUGUACAACUCGCCUAACCUGCAGAAGCUCACUUUGCGACAUUGCAAGGUCUCGGAUUUCCAAUCUACAAAGGAGGUGAUGAAAUGCCGCCAAUCAUAUUCCAAGGGCAUGGCGCGUUUCAAGUGCAACAACCUUAGGCUUACUGAAACCAUACACCGAGAUGGUGAUGCUUCUGUCGAUCCGUUUGUCAAGUUUUUCAGGGGCGUGCGGAGGAAUCUGCCAAACAACAAGAUCAAACUCAUUCCGCUCAAGAAGAAGAAAUAAAAGACUGAACUCGCUAUAGUCGAUUAGCGGAAGCGUAUGGCAAUACACUAGGUUUCCUAUCAUUUGCUGAUUUCAGGAAACUAGGUUGCACAUGUGUCAUCAUUUUUACCUUUUUAAUAAAUUCAUCAUGAGUCCUUGGCUUUAAUUGUGUCGGAUGGUUGAGAUCGUUUGGAUUUCAGCAACUCGUAACUUUUAUACUAGUGUAGACUAGGUUCUUGGUUGAAGUGGAAGUGUCACGAUCCCCUCGUCUAUAUAUAUGGAUUUAUUUUUCAUUUGGGAUGGCA